rnacentral:rRNA from 1 species
UACGUAGGGGGCAAGCGUUGUCCGGAUUUAUUGGGCGUAAAGAGCGUGUAGGCGGCCAGGUAGGUCCGCUGUGAAAACUCGAGGCUCAACCUCGAGACGUCGGCGGAAACCAACUGGCUAGAGUCCGGAAGAGGAGAGUGGAAUUCCUGGUGUAGCGGUGAAAUGCGCAGAUAUCAGGAAGAACACCCGUGGCGAAGGCGGCUCUCUGGGACGGUACUGACGCUGAGACGCGAAAGCGUGGGGAGCGAACAGG